AACGAACGCUGGCGGCAGGCUUAACACAUGCAAGUCGAACGGGUGAAGCAAUACAUCAGUGGCAGACGGGCGAGUAACACGUGGGAACCUUCCUAGGGGUACGGAACAACUCAGGGAAACUUGAGCUAAUACCGUAUACGUCCGUGAGGAGGAAGAUUUAUCGCCCUUAGACGGGCCCGCGUCGGAUUAGCUAGUUGGUGGUAACGGCCUACCAAGGCGACGAUCCGUAGCUGAUCUUAGAGGAUGAUCAGCCACACUGGGACUGAGACACGGCCCAGACUCCUACGGGAGGCAGCAGUGGGGAAUCUUGGACAAUGGGCGCAAGCCUGAUCCAGCCAUGCCGCGUGAGUGAAGAAGGUCUUCGGAUUGUAAAGCUCUUUUGCCAGGGACGAUAAUGACGGUACCUGGAGAAUAAGCCCCGGCAAACUUCGUGCCAGCCGCCGCCGUAA
rnacentral:rRNA from 1 species